rnacentral:tRNA from 1 species
GUGGUUCGACUCCACUACAACGCGCCA